rnacentral:lncRNA from 1 species
AUAACGAAUAAGUGAACAAAGGAAUGAAAAGGAAGUUUGGCAACAGUCUUUUUACCAGCCAGAUAGUUUGACAAAGAAUCUUGCACUGCUCCUGCAGCUAAUCCACCAUACACAACUCUGCAGUCUUGUUUGGGAGUCAAAAUUCUCAAAAUGGGUAACUCUGUUCAAAUAUACUGUUUGGGAACUUUUGUAAUGUAUUUUGCAAGUCAAACAGGAAGGUAUUUCCAUAAGAAGGUUCACUUCACAUGCUCAACAAUUCAAAUUUGCGGAUGAUAUUUCUCAAAAUGGAGGGCUCUAUUUGGCUUGCCAACAAUCUUCCUCACCAUUAUCAUCCUUGCUAUACCGGUUAAACUGAACAGUCUUCAU